UCCUAAGCCUACGAUAACAGAAUUCGUCGUCGGGAAUAACUAGGUGGCGUAGUUAUAUUUUGCUCGUUGAUUACGAAUCCAGUAUUUGAGGUGUAGAAAACUUGGAAAUCUGUGGUUGGAAGAUUUUCUACGUAAUGGAAUUUGUGGGGUCUGCUCUUCUCUGCAAAGGUUUUGGUGAAGACUCAAUUGUUUUUGAAACGGACUACUCUUGUGAGAAAUAACCAAGUCUUAAGUCAAGCCAGGAUAAGUUUUCUCCAGCUACGUAAGAAGGAAGUCUUCAUGGAAGGAAAAGAUUACUGGUACAGAGUUAAGUUUGCAAACGAUACUUCUGUUACUCGAGAACUCCUCAGCUCCUCAGUGGCGUGGUUGGUAUGGUCUUUGCCUGCCACCUCGGUGAUCGCAAGUUCGAUUCUUUGGCAUUAGAUUGAGGGGUUAGAGAUGUGUAUUUCUGGUGAUAAAGUUCGCUCUCGACGUGGUUCGGAAGUCGCGUAAAGCCAUUGGUCCCGUUGCUGAAUAACCACUGGUUCCAUGCAACGUAAAAACUCCAUGCAAACAAACUGUCAACUCUUGUGUUGCUUUUACUCUGUAGCUUUUAAAUGAGGUGAGGAUGCAACCUGGCGUAACUUGAUAUGUUCCAUUACAUGGCUUAAGUUGUGUAUUUGAAGGUUCAACGGUGGUGGUAGGGAGUUUGUGUUAGAUAAUGCAUAAUUUUUAACUUUCCUAAAUAUGAAUUUCAAAGAAUAUAAAUUUGAAGUUUCCAAGAUAUAAAUUUAGAAAAAUAUUUAAUUUAAUAACUUACCUGUCAAUCAUAGAAAAUGCUAGUCGAUAAUAGAAAAUGCCAACUAGUCUAGUUUUAUUGCCAUAAAUUUUGAGUAAAUUAAAAAUUUUUAAUGUUUACCUUGACCAAAUUAAAUUUAGUAUAAAAUCAGUGUCAUAAAUUUUGAAUAAAUUAACUUAAGUUUUGAAUGUUUACCUUGACUAAGACUAAAUUAAACUUAAUAAUCCAGUGGUUUAUAUAAAGCACUUUUUACACUGCUGACCUUGCCCAGGGGAAAAUAGUUAAAAGUAAAACUGGUAUGACAGCACUUGGAGGAGAUUCAUAGUGGCUUAUCUUGAAUUUUAAUAACUGAAGUUCAGCCUUAAAUGCCACCAUCACUUCGUAAUAUUUCGCUAAGUAAUAUUAUUUGAAGGAUAUAUUUAAGGUGUUUUCCUUUUUUAAUACCUGAAACUUAUGAUUUUCUUUUCUCUUUAGAAAAACUGUUUAAUGUUUGUAUGAUUAGGAUAUUUGAUAGCUUGAAAUUGUGGUAAAGGACUGAAAAUUUAGUGUUUUAAACAAAAUCCAAGUAUUGUUGCAGUUACAAUUAACUUUAUAUAUGUAACUAGCUAACUGCUUUAACAAAUGCUGAAUCUUAAUGUUAACCAGAUAUGAAGCA